rnacentral:rRNA from 1 species
GACGAACGCUGGCGGCGUGCUUAACACAUGCAAGUCGAGCGGUAAGGCCUUUCGGGGUACACGAGCGGCGAACGGGUGAGUAACACGUGGGUGAUCUGCCCUGCACUUCGGGAUAAGCCUGGGAAACUGGGUCUAAUACCGGAUAUGACCUCCUAUCGCAUGGUGGGUGGUGGAAAGAUUUAUCGGUGCAGGAUGGGCCCGCGGCCUAUCAGCUUGUUGGUGGGGUAAUGGCCUACCAAGGCGACGACGGGUAGCCGACCUGAGAGGGUGACCGGCCACACUGGGACUGAGACACGGCCCAGACUCCUACGGGAGGCAGCAGUGGGGAAUAUUGCACAAUGGGCGAAAGCCUGAUGCAGCGACGCCGCGUGAGGGAUGACGGCCUUCGGGUUGUAAACCUCUUUCAGCAGGGACGAAGCGCAAGUGACGGUACCUGCAGAAGAAGCACCGGCCAACUACGUG